UACGUCCGUAUCACGUUAAAACACUGGUUCCCGUACGGUCACGGAAGUUAAGAAAUGUCGAGCCUGUUCAGUACCUAGAUGGGUGAUCUUUUGGGAAUACCAUGCGCUGUAAG